GGAAGAGUCACUCACCUCGAGCCACUUCCGUGUUUUUGCCGCAAAGUCCUGUGGGAUACCUGACCAGACUGAUCAGUUUCACCAGCACUCACCACCAAAAGAAAAGGGAGCCUCACUUCUGUCGAUCCUUCUCUCCUCCUUCACUCUAUUCCCCUCAACUCUCUGACUUUCUCCAGUGUUCCACAUCCCCGAUGCUUCUGCAAUCUCACAUCUUCUCUACAGAUCCAAGCCCUUCACAUUUCUGCUGGAUCCCCUCCCAACAGCUUUGGCUGAAUCAUGCUAAUCUCAUCUCUGUGCCUCUGUACCACUAUCUCCACUGGCUUUGUUCUUCUUUUUGGUUUGUUUGUUUACAUGUAAGAUGUUGAUCAAUAAAAGAAAUAACGCUAAAAAAAAGGUGUGAUGAAAUAUGAAAAAAAAAAAAGAAAAA